rnacentral:hammerhead_ribozyme from 1 species
GCACUGCUGACGAGUCCCAAACAGGACUAAACAGCUGUCCAGUGC